UACGUAGGGGGCAAGCGUUAUCCGGAUUUACUGGGUGUAAAGGGAGCGUAGACGGCUGUGCAAGCCAGAUGUGAAAGCCCGGGGCUCAACCCCGGGACUGCAUUUGGAACUGUGUAGCUGGAGUGUCGGAGAGGCAGGCGGAAUUCCUAGUGUAGCGGUGAAAUGCGUAGAUAUUAGGAGGAACACCAGUGGCGAAGGCGGCCUGCUGGACGAUGACUGACGUUGAGGCUCGAAAGCGUGGGGUGCAAACAGG
rnacentral:rRNA from 1 species